rnacentral:SRP_RNA from 1 species
UGGCCAGGAGCUAACAAAACUCUUUUUCAGCACCGUGUCAGAGCCGGAAGGCAGCAGCACACUUUAACUGCAGUUUGUGUCUAGUAACCCUGGCCUUUU